CCUCGCUGCCAUCCGACUCCCAGUAGAGUGCCGCUGCCCUCGAAAUGCUGUGGUCCUCAGGCUGUGGAUAUCCCGGAUCUGGGGACCUUCCAUGAGGAACACUCUGUUCUAACCAGGAAACUGAAACUCACGGACAUUGCACUCCGUCCCCGGACACACUCCGGGUGCCAGAGCUGGGAUCCUGCUCAACCUGAUUCUGAGGCCAGGCUGCUCUGGCUGAGCUGCUGCUGUGCAGAAAACAUGAGCCCUCAACUCCACCUGUGUUCUUCUGCAAAGAACACCAGACUUGUCUGUGACGACUCCACCCUGGGUUAACAGGCAGUCUACCGAGACAAGGUCUUUCUUCUUCCACCUUGCAGGUAGCACAAUCAACAUCUGCUGGCUAUUGAGUGGAGGAAACCCA